rnacentral:rRNA from 1 species
AUCGAACGCUGGCGGCAGGCCUAAUACAUGCAAGUCGAGCGGAGCGGCGGACGGGUGAGUAAUGCCUAGGAAUCUGCCUGGUAGUGGGGGAUAACGUCCGGAAACGGGCGCUAAUACCGCAUACUAUCAGAUGAGCCUAGGUCGGAUUAGCUAGUUGGGGGGGUAAAGGCCUACCAAGGCGACGAUCCGUAACUGGUCUGAGAGGAUGAUCAGUCACCCUGGAACGUGGACAAGGUCCGAACUCCUACGGGAGGCAGCAGUGGGGAAUAUUGGACAAUGGGCGAAAGCCUGAUCCAGCCAUGCCGCGUGUGUGAGGAAGGUUUUCGGAUUGUAAAACACUUUAGGUUGGGAGGCGUUACCAACAGAGUAAGCACCGGCUAACUUCGUGCCAGCAGCCGCGGUAAUAC